rnacentral:misc_RNA from 1 species
GUGAGUAAACUUCCACGGCGGUGGGUAUAUAUAUUAAUAAUUCAGAGUAUUUUAGGUUAUAGAGAAUAAAUGGAGAAUAAAUAUUGCAGUAUAACAAAUAUUAAUCAGGCUCCACAACCUAACAGGUCGAUCAUAGUCAUAUCUAACCACUACUUGGGUGAUCACUUACAUUAACACAAAAAACAAACAACGGACAACUCGAUUCACUAAGCUCCCGCUAUAUACGGAAUCCGCGGAAGGCCCAAAUUGCAUU